UACGUAGGGUGCGAGCGUUGUCCGGAAUUAUUGGGCGUAAAGAGCUCGUAGGCGGUGUGUCGCGUCGGUCGUGAAAACUUGGGGCUUAACCCUGAGCUUGCGGUCGAUACGGGCAUCACUGGAGUUCGGCAGGGGAGACUGGAAUUCCUGGUGUAGCGGUGAAAUGCGUAGAUAUCGGAAGGAACAUCAGUGGCGAAAGCGGCUUCCUGGACCAGAACUGACGAUCAGGCACGAAAGCGUGGGGAGCAAACAGG
rnacentral:rRNA from 1 species